CGAGAUUGUAUGGUAAAGCG
rnacentral:tRNA from 1 species